rnacentral:lncRNA from 1 species
UCAUUUAAUACUAUAUUUUCCUAGGUUAUUUAAAUUAUGUUCAUGUUCCCUAGGUGAUCUAAUUAUGAUCAAAUAGAAUUUAGGUGUUUUAGCCUAUAAAUAUCUCCUUUUGCAAUGUAUAUAACACACUUAAGUUAUUGAAUGCAAUAGUUGAGAAAUCUUUCACAAAUCUUCUAUAAAAACUAGUCAGCCUGUGAAAACUCCUCACAUCAGACACUCCUAGGUAUUAGCCAUUCUUGUAUAGCUUUCAUUUUGUCAC